rnacentral:tRNA from 1 species
AGAAGUUAGUCUAAAAAAGACUACUAAUUUCGACUUAGUUAAUUUCGAUUACACACGAAACUUCUC